rnacentral:rRNA from 1 species
GACAGAGGGUGCAAACGUUGUUCGGAAUUACUGGGCGUAAAGCGCGUGUAGGCGGCUUCGCAAGUCGGGUGUGAAAUCCCACGGCUCAACCGUGGAAGUGCAUUCGAAACUGCAAGGCUAGAGUCCUGGAGAGGAAGGUGGAAUGCUUGGUGUAGAGGUGAAAUUCGUAGAUAUCAAGCGGAACACCUGUGGCGAAGGCGACCCCCUGGUUGGAUACUGACGCUGAGACGCGAAAGCGUGGGGAGCAAACAGG